AACGAACGCUGGCGGCAUGCCUAACACAUGCAAGUCGAACGAAGUCUUCGGACUUAGUGGCGCACGGGUGCGUAACGCGUGGGAAUCUGCCCUUGGGUGCGGAAUAACUUCUCGAAAGGGAUGCUAAUACCGCAUAAUGUCGUAAGACCAAAGAUUUAUCGCCCAAGGAUGAGCCCGCGUAAGAUUAGCUAGUUGGUGGGGUAAAAGCCUACCAAGGCGACGAUCUUUAGCUGGUCUGAGAGGAUGAUCAGCCACACUGGGACUGAGACACGGCCCAGACUCCUACGGGAGGCAGCAGUGGGGAAUAUUGGACAAUGGGCGAAAGCCUGAUCCAGCAAUGCUGCGUGAGUGAUGAAGGCCCUAGGGUUGUAAAGCUCUUUUACCAGGGAUGAUAAUGACAGUACCUGGAGAAUAAGCAUCGG
rnacentral:rRNA from 1 species